CGGAGGUUACUGCUAUUGGAAUCCGAUUAAGCCAUGCGAGUCGAUCGGGUCAGACCCGAGGCGCACUGCUCAGUAACACGUGGAGAAUCUGCCCUUAGGUGAGGAAUAACCUCGGGAAACUGAGAAUAAUACCUCAUAGGUUAUGGAUGCUGGAAUGCUUCAUAGCCCAAAGCCCCGGCGCCUAAGGAUGACUCUGCGGACUAUCAGGUAGUAGUCAGGGUAACGACCUGACUAGCCUACGACGGAUACGGGGUGUGAGAGCACUAGCCCGGAGAUGGAUUCUGAGACACGAAUCCAGGCCCUACGGGGUGCAGCAGGCGCGAAACUUCCGCAAUGCUCGCCAGAGUGACGGAGGGAUUCCAAGUGCCUAUGCUAUGCGUAGGC
rnacentral:rRNA from 1 species